GAUGAACGCUAGCGGCAGGCCCAACACAUGCAAGUCGAGGGGUAACUAGAGUGAUAGCAAUAUUACUUUGGCUAGACCGGCGCACGGGUGCGUAACACGUAUGCAACCUACCUUAUACUGGGGAAUAACUUCGAGAAAUCGGCGCUAAUACCCCAUAACAUUGCGAAGAGGCAUCUCUUUGCAAUUAAAGCUCCGGCGGUAUAAGAUGGGCAUGCGUCCAAUUAGCUAGUUGGUGAGGUAACGGCUCACCAAGGCUACGAUUGGUAGGGGUUCUGGGAGGAUGAUCCCCCACACUGGUACUGAGACACGGACCAGACUCCUACGGGAGGCAGCGGUGAGGAAUAUUGCGCAAUGGACGAAAGUCUGACGCAGCCAUGCCGCGUGCAGGAUGACGGCCCUAUGGGUUGUAAACUGCUUUUGUACGGGAAUAAACCCUUCUACGUGUAGGAGGCUGAAGGUACCGUAAGAAUAAGCACCGGCUAACUCCGUGCCAGCCGCCGCCGUAA
rnacentral:rRNA from 1 species